AUGAGACUGCUGGCGCCAGCGCCUGCCAGCGCUGCACCGGCCUGGGGAGCUCGCUUCCCGCUGACUCAGCGGCGACCGCAGCGGUAUGUGUAUAAGAGACAGGACGAGGGGCGCGCAGUCCCGGCCAGCUCCGUCUCUGGCGUUGGCGCUGCGGCCGUGGCGAGGACUGCGGUGACAAGGACGAGGGCCGCUGUCCCUGCUCUCUGCGUGCCGCUCCGCUGGCUGACCAUCUGGAGUGCAGGCUGGGAGGCCAGAUGGAGUGAUAAGGAAGAUGUUUACGAAUUCCCCGGUGGGAUCAGAGGGCACGCCUAUUAUAACCAGAAGACUCCAAGUAUAGCAGCAAGGACGGAUGAACAGGCUCUAUUAGGGCUAAAUCCAAAUGCUGAUUCAGACUUUAGAUAAAAGGCCCUGGCCUAUUUUGAGAAGUUAAACACAUCUAGAUGUGUAUAAGAGACAGGCUGAAGCUCUAGCCCAGAGGACGUAUAGUGAUGAUCAUGUAAAGUUUUUCUGCUUUCAAGUACUGGAACAUCAAGUUAAAUAGAAAUAUUCAGAACUAAGCACUGUUCAACAGCAACUAAUUAGGGAGACGCUGGUAUCACGGCUGCAAGCUCAGAAGCUGAAUCCCCAACCAGAGAAGCCUUCAUACGAAAUAAAGCCGCCCAAGUCUUCGCCUUGCUUUUUGUUAACAGAAUAUCUCACUAAGUGGCCCAAGUUUUUUUUUUUUACAUUCUCUCAGUAGUGGAUCUAAAUCCAAGGGGAGUAGAUCUGUACCUGCGAAUCCUCAUGGCUAUUGAUUCAGAGUUGUUGGAUCGUGAUGUGGUGCAUGCAUACAUCAGAGGAGGCUCGUAGGAAUACUCUCAUAAAAGAUACUAUGAGGGAACAGUGCAUUCCAAAUCUGGUGGAAUCAUGGUACCAAAUAUUACAAAAUUAUCAGUGUACUAAUUCUGAAGUGACCUAUCAGUGCCUUGAAGUAGUGGGGGCUUAUGUCUCUUGGAUAGACUCAUCCCUUACAGCCAAUGAUAGGUUUAUAAAUAUGCGGCUAGGUCAGAUGUCAAUAGAAGUUCUAUGGGAAGAAGCAUGUGACUGUUUAUUUGAAGUUGUAAAUAAAGGAAUGGACCCUACUGAUAAAAUGAAACUAGUAGAAUCUUUGUAUCAAGUAUUACAGUCCGCUGGGUUUUUCAGCAUUGACCAGGAAGAUGUUGACUUCCUGGCCAGAUUUUCUAAGCUGGUAAAUGAAAUGGGACAGUCAUUGAUAGUUAGUUGGAGUAAAUUAGUUAAGAAUGGGGAUAUUAAGAAUACUCAAGAGGCACUACAAGCUAUUGAAACAAAAGUGGCACUGAUGUUGCAGCUACUAAUUCAUGAGGAUGAUGAUAUUUCUUCUAAUAUUAUUGGAUUUUGUUAUGAUUAUCUUCAUAUUUUGAAACAGCUUACAGUGCUCUCGGAUCAGCAAAAAGCUAAUGUAGAGGCAAUCAUGUUGGCCGUUAUGAAAAAAGUUGACUUACGGUGAAGAAUAUAACUUCGAAAAUGAGGGUGAAGAUGAAGCCAUGUUUGUAGAAUAUAGAAAACAACUGAAGUUACUGUUGGACAGGCUUGCUCAAGUUUCACCAGUUACUGCUGGCCUCUGUUCACAGAGUUUUUAGUUCUACACUGCAGAAUUGGCAGACUACACGGUUUAUGGAAGUUGAAGUAGCAAUAAGAUUGCUGUAUAUGUUGGCAGAAGCUCUUCCAGUAUCUCAUGGUGCUCACUUCUCAGGUGAUGUUUCAAAAGCUAGUGGUUUGCAGGAUAUGAUGUGAACUCUGGUAACAUCAGGAAUCAGUUCCUAUCAGCAUACAUCUGUGACUUUGGAGUUCUUCGAAACUGUUAGAUAUGAAAGUUUUUCACAGUUGAACCUCAGCACAUUCCAUGUGUACUAAUGGCUUUCUUAGAUCACAGAGGUCUGCGGCAUUCCAGUGCAAAAGUUCGGAGCAGGACGGCUUACCUGUUUUCUAGAUUUGUCAGAUCUCUCAAUAAGCAAAUGAAUCCUUUCAUUGAGGAUAUUUUGAAUAGAAUACAAGAUUUAUUAGAGCUUUCUCUGCCUGAGAAUGCCUCUCUAGCAGACUGUCUCAACCAUGCUGUUGGAUUUGCAAGUCGAACCAGUAAAGCUUUCAGCAACAAGCAGACUGUGAAACAAUGUGGCCAUUCCGAAGUUUAUCUGAACUGUUUACAGACAUUCUUGCCGGCCCUCAGUUGUCCCUUACACAAGGGUAUUCUCAGAAGUGGAGUACGUACUUUCCUUCAUCGAAUGAUUAUUUGCCCGGAGGAAGAAGUUCUUCCUUUCAUCCCAUCUGCUUCAGAACAUAUGCUCAAAGAUUGUGAAGCAAAAGACCUCCAGGAGUUCAUUCCUCUUAUCAACCAGAUUACGGACAAAUUCAAGAUACAGGUAUCCCCGUUUUUACGACAGAUGUUCAUGCCUCUGCUUCAUGCACUUUUUGAAGUGUUGCUCCGGCCAGCGGAAGAAAAUGACCAGUCUGCUGCUUUAGAGAAGCAGAUGUUGCGGAGGAGUUACUUUGCUUUCCUGCGAACAGUCCCCAGGCAGUGGGAUGCGCGAAGUUAUAGCAAAUCAAGGUGCAGAGAAUGUAGAAAAGUGCUGGUUACUGUUAUCCAAGGAGCAGUUGAAUAUCCAGAUCCAACUGCACAGAAAACAUGUUUUAUCAUCCUCUCAAAGUUGGGAGAACUCUGGGGAGGUAAAGCUGGACCAGUGGGAUUUACUGAUUUUGUUUAUAAGCACAUUGUCCCUGCAUGUGUCCUAGCACCUUUAAAACAAACCUUUGACCUGGCAGAUGCACAAACAGUAUUGUCUUUAUCUGAGUGUGCAGUGACACUGAAAACAAUUCAUCUCAAAUGAGGCCCAGAAUGUGUUCAGUAUCUUCAACAAGAAUACCUGCCUUCCUUGCAAGUGGUUCCAGAAAUAAUUCAGGAGUUUUGUCAAGCACUUCAGCAGUCUGAUGCUAAAGUUUUUAAAAAUUACUUAAGGCCGGGCAUG